CACGUAGGGCGCAAGCGUUGUCCGGAAUUAUUGGGCGUAAAGAGCUCGUAGGCGGUUUGUCGCGUCUGCUGUGAAAACUCGGGGCUUAACCCCGGGCCUGCAGUGGGUACGGGCAGACUAGAGUGCGGUAGGGGAGACUGGAAUUCCUGGUGUAGCGGUGAAAUGCGCAGAUAUCAGGAGGAACACCGGUGGCGAAGGCGGGUCUCUGGGCCGAUACUGACGCUGAGGAGCGAAAGCGUGGGGAGCGAACAGG
rnacentral:rRNA from 1 species